GACGAACGCUGGCGGCGUGCUUAACACAUGCAAGUCGAACGGAAAGGCCCUGCUUUUGUGGGGUGCUCGAGUGGCGAACGGGUGAGUAACACGUGAGUAACCUGCCCUUGACUUUGGGAUAACUUCAGGAAACUGGGGCUAAUACCGGAUAGGAUCUCCUGCUGCAUGGUGGGGGUUGGAAAGUUUCGGCGGUUGGGGAUGGACUCGCGGCUUAUCAUCUUGUUGGUGGGGUAGUGGCUUACCAAGGCUUUGACGGGUAGCCGACCUGAGAGGGUGACCGGGCACAAUGGGACUGAGAUACGGCCCAGAAUCCAACGGGAGGCAGAAGUGGGGAAUAUUGCACAAUGGGCGGAAGCCUGAUGCAGAAACGCCGCGUGCGGGAUGACGGCCUUAGGGUUGUAAACCGAUUUCGCCUGUGACGAAGCGUGAGUGACGGUAAUGGGUAAAGAAGCACCGGCUAACUACGUG
rnacentral:rRNA from 1 species